GCCAAAACCUAACCUAGCAGUAAACCGGAUAGAGCUUUGUCAACUCUCUCUCUCUCUCUCUCUCUCUCUCUCUCUCUCGGCCUCCCUCCGACUCACCAUCGCUCUCGGCCUCCCUCCGACUCACCAUCGCUUUCGGCCUCCCUCCGACCCUCCGACUCACCAUCGCUCUCACCCUCAAUCACUAUCGCUCUCACCCUCAAUCACUAUCGCUCUCGGCCUCCCUCCGACUCACCAUCGCUCUCACCCUCAAUCACCAUCGCUCUCGGCCUCCCUCCGAUUCACCAUCGAUCUCACCCUCAAAUUAGUUGGUUUGAUAACGUUCACUCCUCCAAAUUAGUUGGUUCGGUGAUUGAUCAAAUCUUGAUAGAGUUUGGUUCUUCUUGAUUGAGUGGAUAUGUGCAUAUUUUGGUCCGUCUCGACCAUCGUCGCUGCGAAAUUUGUGGGUGUUGGAUUGGUUUUCGGGUGCAGCUUCUGGGAUUUCUUUACUCCUUUGGUUCUUCAGCUCAGGAUUUCUUUCCCCAAAAAGGUAUAUUGAGUAUGUGUGUUGAAGGUACAUUGAAGGUAUACUGAGUAUGUGUGUUCUUCUGUUUGAGAAUUAUCUUCUUUCUAGGUUGCAUUUGAGUAUGUCUAUUGAAGGUACAAGUAUCAGUUCAACCCAUUCAAUUCUGGAAGGUACAAGUAAAUUCAGUUCUAGUACAAGUUCAAAAGGGAAUCUGGAAGCCUAAAUCUUAUAUUGUUUACUGGGUGCAGAUUUUGAUCAUGUUUGUUUGUUUGGUUUGAUAACAAAUGUUCUAGGGUCAUGAAAAAGUGUGGGGUUCAGGUUAUCUAAUAAUACUGGGAAAUUGGCAGGUUUUUCAGCUUCAUAGGACUGUUGAUUGGGUCUAUACUCAAGUAGAUAUCGAUUUGAUAUAUGAAUAUUUGAAAGCCUUGUGUGUUAGUUUUGUGAUUGAAUGAAGUUUAAGUGACCUUAGUUAAUGUAGCUAUUGGCCUUUACUUGAAUCAAUCCGCUUUUUGUUUUGUUUGUUUGUUUAGAAUUAAUUUAUUUUUGGUUGGAAAUUACUGGAGCUGAUCAUGUGUGUGAUUGAACCAAAUCAAUAAAGUGAUAAACAGAUAGCAAUUAGCAAAUCAUACUGUUGAAGAGUUCUACUCCUAGCUCUAUUCCAGAUCAUUACGACACCAAAGACUUCUACUCCUACCUCGUUCGUGGCAUCCUUAAGCCCCUCAACAUUCAACAAAGCUGUGUCAUCUGCCUCCUUCUUCGUUAAACCUGCUUUUAUUGUAAAGUUUUCCAUGCUUCUCUCUGUUUUUGUUUAAAUUUGUAAGCUUUUUCAUUGGUUUGUGUUUGUUUGGUAAAAAGAAACAAAAAGGUUAUGAACUGGGCUCUCUACAGGGGAAAAUUGGAAGCAAAGAUUAGGACCCUUUUUCAAAAUUGCUUAGAUUCAGUUCCUUUUAGUUGAUUUCUAACCUGGGUAUUACUUAAUCUGAGGCAAAGUAGGAUACUUUGUUAGACUAGGCUAAAGGUUUGGCUUUUUUUUUUAUAUUAAAAUUUCACCCAUUUUGCUCACCAUGUGUUACUCUAAUUGAACCAGAAUCUUGGUAUCAAAGUCUUUCUUUCGUGAAAAAAGAAAAGGGUAGGGAACUCUGGGUUCAAUUUGAUUUUGUUUCUAUGUAUUGGCUAAUUGGCAACAGAAGCAAGUUUUCACUGGCAUUUGUUCAUUGAUGGGUUCUCUAUCAGUAAUGAGUGUUAAAGCCCUAGGAACUGCUCUAAAAUUAACUUUUGAGGGAAAGAAUCAGUUAAUCUAUCCAGAGACAUGGUUUUUUAUGUUGGUUGUAACUACAUGUAUCAUCACUCAGAUGAACUAUCUGAACAAGACAUUAGACUGCAGUUAAUGUUGAUGAGGCAGCAAGAGAACUUCAAAAGAUUCUAGACAGUGGAGAACAGAUAGGAUUGAAGCAUUUUAAGCCUAUAAAGCCCUUGGGAUCUGGUGAUACUGGCAGUGUGCAUUUGGUCCAAUUGUGUGGAACUGAUCAGUACUACCCAUGAAGGCUAUGGAUAAGGGUAUCAUGCUCAAUAGGAACAAGGUAUUGGAUAGUUUGCUGACCAUUAAGUGCAAAUCAAUUUGUUUCAGUGGGAGAAAAAAGGGAAAGCACCAUAUACCCAGCAGCAUAUUGAUGAAGUCAGAAACGAGUGGGCAAAAUUUGUUGUUAAAACAUAUAUGUAAGCUUGUGGUUGGGUAUCGACUUAUUUUGGUAACCUUGAUUUUACAAGAUAUAUAGACAAUAUUAUUAUUACUUGCUAGAUUGAGGUUACUUUUGGUUAGAAUUGCUGGAUAUAGAUAUGUACUUUUGGAAAUGUUUUGGUUUGGCAAUGUAAGAACAGAUGGCAUUGAUAUAUGACAAUGUUAUAUUUUGGAUUUGUUCAGGAUA